GCGGAAGUGGCGGAAUUGGUAGACGCGCUAGGUUCAGGGUCUAGUGAGGGCAACCUCGUGGGGGUUCGAGUCCCCCCUUCCGCA
rnacentral:tRNA from 1 species